rnacentral:rRNA from 1 species
GACGAACGCUGGCGGCGUGCUUAACACAUGCAAGUCGAACGGAAAGGCCUCUUUCGGGGGGUACUCGAGUGGCGAACGGGUGAGUAACACGUGAGUAACCUGCCCUUGACUUUGGGAUAACUUCAGGAAACUGGGGCUAAUACCGGAUAGGAGCUCCUGCUGCAUGGUGGGGGUUGGAAAGUUUCGGCGGUUGGGGAUGGACUCGCGGCUUACCAGCUUGUUGGUGGGGUAGUGGCUUACCAAGGCUUUGACGGGUAGCCGGCCUGAGAGGGUGACCGGCCACAUUGGGACUGAGAUACGGCCCAGACUCCUACGGGAGGCAGCAGUGGGGAAUAUUGCACAAUGGGUGGAAGCCUGAUGCAGCAACGCCGUGUGCGGGAUGACGGCCUUCGGGUUGUAAACCGCUUUCGCUCAUGACGAAGCUUUGUGUGACGGUAGUGGGUAAAGAAGCACCGGCUAACUACGU